GAAAUUAUUCAUUUAAAAGAUUCAAACAGAUCCGGGCAACAGGUGUGUUUCCCAUUUCCCAACAGUUUGGUCGUCAUCAGAGUCAACAUAAAUGUGAGGAAUAUGCUUUGUCUGCGGUUCUUGCCUCGACCUGGAUUUGGAGAAAAUGAUCCACUGUUAGACGGAGUAUGCAGUGCAGACUCAACGCUCAUGCGGGUUGCCAGAUUGAGGACAUGCAACAGGAACGAGCACAAUUCAAAAUGGAAGGGGACGAGCCUUACACUUUUGUGCAGGGAUCAGAAUCCCUCCCUGUCGACAGGCCAGAGGGGUAUUAGAGUCCUGACCCCAGAGUCGACGACAGGGUCAGAAAUUGGAUCUGAACUGCUUGAGCGACUCGGGCCCCCACCAAACAUCAAAGCCCAUCUCAUCUGAUCCGGGCAGGCACACAAACUGACCUCCAACAACACGCUCUCACUGUACCUCUCCGCUCGGGCUAACAGCGACGUGAUGAAAGGUAAGGAUGACCGCCUGCAUCGACUCGCUUGCCCAGACUGUCAACGCACAGUCACUGGUUUCUGUACUGUCGAACAAGGAGGAGAGAUGUGAAGCUUUGAAAAUCAUCAAAGCUGCAUGAGGGUGUGAAAGAUCCAAUUGAGCAGACGGAGGGAGAGACAUGACUUUCAGGUCAUAGAUGGGAAAUGACAAAGGCUGGGACAGAUACUCACGUUUUGUUAUUAAUAAAGGCACCUUGUGAGA